rnacentral:rRNA from 1 species
AUUGAACGCUGGCGGCAUGCCUAACACAUGCAAGUCGAACGGCAGCACGGCAGUAGCAAUACUGUGGGUGGCGAGUGGCGGACGGGUGAGGAAUACGUCGGAAUCUGCCCAGUCGUGGGGGAUAACUAGCCGAAAGGUUAGCUAAUACCGCAUACGACCGAGAGGUGAAAGCGGGGGACCGCAAGGCCUCGCGCGAUUGGAUGAGCCGACGUCGGAUUAGCUAGUUGGUGGGGUAAAGGCCCACCAAGGCGACGAUCCGUAGCUGGUCUGAGAGGAUGAUCAGCCACACUGGAACUGAGACACGGUCCAGACUCCUACGGGAGGCAGCAGUGGGGAAUAUUGGACAAUGGGCGCAAGCCUGAUCCAGCAAUGCCGCGUGUGUGAAGAAGGCCUUCGGUGUAAGCACUUUAUCAGGACGAAAGACGUUGGAGUUAAUAACUCUGACGUGCUGACGGUACCUGAGGAAGUAAGCACCGGCUAACUU